rnacentral:rRNA from 1 species
GACGAACGCUGGCGGCGUGCUUAACACAUGCAAGUCGAACGAAGUGGCGAACGGGUGAGUAACGCGUAAUCAACCUGCCCUUCAGAGGGGGACACCAGUUGGAAACGACUGCUAAUACCGCAUACUGAAGGAGGUGAUUGCGUCUGAUUAGCUAGUUGGAAGGGUAACGGGCCACCAAGGCGAUGAUCAGUAGCCGGGCUGAGAAGGUGAACGGCCAAAAUGGGACUGAGAAAAGGCCCAGGAUCCUACCGGGUGCAUGAGGGGGGAAUCUUCCGCAAAGGACGAAAGGCUGACGGAGCAAAGCCGGGUGAGUGAUGACGGCCUUCGGGGUUGAAAGCUCUGUUAAGCGGGAAGCGGUACCGGAAGAGAAAGCCACGGCUAACUACGUGCCAGCAGCCGCGGUAAUAC